CCUACGGGUGGCAGCAGUGAGGAAUAUUGGUCAAUGGACGAGAGUCUGAACCAGCCAAGUAGCGUGAAGGAUGACUGCCCUAUGGGUUGUAACCUUCUUUUAUAAAGGAAUAAAACGAGGCACGUGUGCCUUUCGGCAUGUACUUUAUGAAUAAGGAUCGGCUAACUCCGUGCCAGCAGCCGCGUUAAUACGGAGGAACAGGGCGUUUUCCGGAUUUUUUGGGUUUAAAGGGGAGGUAGGUGGGAUGUUAAGUCAGGUGGGAAAGUUUGCGGCACAAGCGUAAAAGUGCAAUUGAUACUGGCAGUCUGGAGUGCAGUUGAGGUAGGCGGAAUGCGUGGUGUAGCGGUGAAAUGCUUAGAUAUCACGAAGAACCCCGAUUGCGAAGGCAGCUUACUAAACUGUGACUGACAUUGAUGCUCGAAAGUGUGGGUAUCAAACAGGAUUAGAUACCCGGGUAGUC
rnacentral:rRNA from 1 species